UACGUAGGGUGCGAGCGUUGUCCGGAAUUAUUGGGCGUAAAGAGCUUGUAGGCGGUUUGUCGCGUCUGCCGUGAAAAUCCGAGGCUCAACCUCGGACUUGCGGUGGGUACGGGCAGACUAGAGUUCGGUAGGGGAGACUGGAAUUCCUGGUGUAGCGGUGAAAUGCGCAGAUAUCAGGAGGAACACCGAUGGCGAAGGCAGAUCUCUGGGCCGUAACUGACGCUGAGGAGCGAAAGCGUGGGGAGCGAACAGG
rnacentral:rRNA from 1 species